AUUCAAGCGACGAGUCCUAAAUAGGAUGAAACGCGCGUUCUGGAU
rfam:Schistosoma mattheei strain Denwood, Zambia genome assembly, scaffold: SMTD_scaffold0025008